rnacentral:piRNA from 2 species
UCACAACCCACUAAUGGUGUGCGACCCACGU